UUAAGUUCAGCGGGUAUUCCUACCUGAUCCGAGGUCAACCUUGAUAUAGUGGGGGUUUCACGGCCGGAACCCGUCACGUGCCCUGAGCGAGGAUGUUUACUGCACUCGGUACGACGACGAGCCCGCCACUGGAUUUGGGAGCCUGCGGCAGCCGCAGGGCUCCAACACAAGCCGGGGGCUUGAUGGUUGAAAUGACGCUC
rnacentral:misc_RNA from 2 species